UCAAUUUUUUAAAUCUCCUGGCUACUGAUUGUUGAAAAAUGUAGGUGCCAAAAUAAUUCAGCUUUUCUAAAAGUGUGUGUUGAAGAGGAGCACAGCGAUGCCUGGUUUGAUCCGGUCAAGAAGUUUCCAGUGCAUUAAGUAAUAAUAUCCAUGACAAAAAUGAAUGCAAAAGAAGUAAAGCAAGGGACAGAAAAGUUCAAUUACCCCGUAUGCUCGGGUAUUCAAAGGCCAAAAAAUGACGAGGAUAUCGCUUUUAUGAGUGAUAGUAAGGCAGCAGGUAGGAGAUCCGCCAAUCACUGUAGGAUACUAAGUCAGCAGGACCAAUGUAGCAUCCUCAUUCCCGGAAAUCGCAUCAAUUUUUGGUAUAUGUAACAUAAGUAAUAACUCAACUCAUGAUUGAUAAAGAAAAUAUGAAGUUGCAUAGGUAGAGUCAUUUCACCAUAUAACAUAUAAAACGCAGAACAUUGAAGCGACAUAAGUACAAAAUAUAUAAGUGCACAGCUAGACGCAUUGCAGUAAAACCAAUUAGGGAUUCUUUUCUUUCUUUAUGACCCUGCGAACCUUGUUGCUAGAGAGUUGAGAAUUGAAGUCAUCAUCUGGUCCUGCUGCUGAUGCCUUAUUAGCGGAUCUAGUCUUCUUGUCAUACUUCUUCAGAGGACAUAUUUUUAUAUUGCAAGCAUCACCAUCUUCUAACACCGACGAUCCACUUUCUGAUACGCUUUUAUCGAUGGGAGUUUGCAAAAUAGACUGCUGACUUUCGGCCAUUACAUCCUUCCAACAGCCAAAAAAUUUAAUACC